rnacentral:rRNA from 1 species
GUCGAACGGCAGCGCGGGAGCAAUCCUGGCGGCGAGUGGCGAACGGGUGAGUAAUACAUCGGAACGUGCCCAAUCGUGGGGGAUAACGCAGCGAAAGCUGUGCUAAUACCGCAUACGAUCUACGGAUGAAAGCAGGGGAUCGCAAGACCUUGCGCGAAUGGAGCGGCCGAUGGCAGAUUAGGUAGUUGGUGAGGUAAAGGCUCACCAAGCCUUCGAUCUGUAGCUGGUCUGAGAGGACGACCAGCCACACUGGGACUGAGACACGGCCCAGACUCCUACGGGAGGCAGCAGUGGGGAAUUUUGGACAAUGGGCGAAAGCCUGAUCCAGCCAUGCCGCGUGCAGGAUGAAGGCCUUCGGGUUGUAAACUGCUUUUGUACGGAACGAAACGGCCUUUUCUAAUAAAGA